rnacentral:rRNA from 1 species
GGGUGAUCUGCCCUGCACUUCGGGAUAAGCCUGGGAAACUGGGUCUAAUACCGGAUAUGACCUCCGGUUGCAUGACUUGGGGUGGAAAGAUUUAUCGGUGCAGGAUGGGCCCGCGGCCUAUCAGCUUGUUGGUGGGGUAAUGGCCUACCAAGGCGACGACGGGUAGCCGACCUGAGAGGGUGACCGGCCACACUGGGACUGAGACACGGCCCAGACUCCUACGGGAGGCAGCAGUGGGGAAUAUUGCACAAUGGGCGAAAGCCUGAUGCAGCGACGCCGCGUGAGGGAUGACGGCCUUCGGGUUGUAAACCUCUUUCAGCAGGGACGAAGCGCAAGUGACGGUACCUGCAGAAGAAGCACCGGCUAACUACGUGCCAGCAGCCGCGGUAAUACGUAGGGUGCAAGCGUUGUCCGGAAUUACUGGGCGUAAAGAGUUCGUAGGCGGUUUGUCGCGUCGUUUGUGAAAACCAGCAGCUCAACUGCUGGCUUGCAGGCGAUACGGGCAGACUUGAGUACUGCAGGGGAGACUGGAAUUCCUGGUGUAGCGGUGAAAUGCGCAGAUAUCAGGAGGAACACCGGUGGCGAAGGCGGGUCUCUGGGCAGUAACUGACGCUGAGGAACGAAAGCGUGGGUAGCGAACAGGAUUAGAUACCCUGGUAGUCCACGCCGUAAACGGUGGGCGCUAGG